UUCCUGCAGAACUUUUAUCUCUGGAAGAAGGAUAAGAAAGCUCUCAAAGACAUAAAAGACAAAGACAAGGAGUUAUUAAUACAGGAGAACUUCUGCGGCACUUCCAUCAUCGUGCCCGAUCUCGAGGGGGUGAUGCACCUCAAAGAAGAUGGCAAGAAGUCCUGGAAACCAAGGCUCUUUCAGCUGAGGGCCUCUGGGAUUUAUUACGUGCCCAAAGGGAAAACCAAGUCGUCCCGUGACCUCGUCUGCUUUGUCCAGUUUGACAACGUGAACGUCUACUUUGGCAAAGACUUUAAGAGCAAAUAUAAAGCCCCGACCGACUUCUGCUUUAUUCUGAAGGUAGGUUAUCUUUAAAUGUGUUUUUUCUGAUCAUAGUUUGCUGCACUGUACACAGCUUUACUGUUGAAUUAAUGAACAGAGAAGCUGCC